UUUGUAACAUCACAUUUUUUACGAAGCAUUAUUGUCGUCGUUGCAGCAUCACUGAUAACGUUUAAAAAGUCAAUGUCAUCGGCAUCCGUCCAAAAGUUUCUUCGGACGCACGAUGUUGUGUGCAUCGUUUUCGCACGAAUACGCGCGCGUUUAUAUAUAUAUAUAUAUAUAUGUACUUUUUUUUAGAGCAAAGUGCACAUACGAUAUACUUUCGUAUAUUCAUUGUAUGUCGUCAGUGUAUAUACGUGUGUGUGUGUGCGCGCGCGCGCGUAUGUAUCAAGUAUAGAUAACGACGUACAUACGACGCGCGUGCUCACGUAUCAUGUACUUGGUGUUCAAUUUGUAAAUGUGUUACAUAGUAUAUAUACAUGGCGUGCAAGUGGUAUAUAUAUACAUAUACAUAUAUAUAUAUAUAUAUAUAUAUAUAAAGUCGAAGUCCCAAGAUCGAAAAGAAAAAAAAAAAAGAAAAACAUGGAAACUCUGUCCUCUCCCGCUCUUUCUCUCGUCGAACAACAACAUCGAGUUGUACCAAAUACAAGUUUAAACUAGUUUCAAUCUACGUUUAAAAUUCUCGCGAAUGGCAGAGAGCAGAGAAAAGUCGCGAUCUCUCUCACUCCUGGAUUUAAACAAGAACAGACAUUCUCGUGUUGUAACCUUCUGUCUGUCUCCGCUAGAAAAGAAAGCGGACGGUGGAGGAAGAAUUCGUGAGGCUUUUCAAAAGAAAGAGAUUCGCAUGUACCUGCUGCUGAAUGAAGGGGAUGACUAAAAAAAUCCCCCCGAUCAUUCACGGGAAAGAAGCAUCGCACUAAACGCGCCUACGUGACACAGAUCGACGACAUCGAUGAGAUACGUAAGUAUCUCAAGUACCGUCGCAAUAUUUAAAAAAAACCGAUCGACGAAUGGUACCUUUUUCUCUUUUUCUCUUUCUUUAUUUACCCCUUCCCUUUCUCUCUGCCUUUUUUUCCUUUUAUCCUUUUCAGAUCUUCCGGAAGAGAAACAAAUAUUGACCAAAGCGAAUUCGUGAGAGGACGGAGCCUCGACGUGUGUAUGUUACGUAUAUAUGUGUGUAUAUCGCGUCGGGAAGGAGAAGAUACAUGUGUAUCGUCUCUCAUACGUUACGUAUAUGCGUCUCGAUUGUGUGUAGUAAGAGCACCGAUAUAGUAAUACAGUAGAGUAGUGUAGUACUAAUAGUAGUAGUAGUAGUAGUAGUAGUAGUAGUAGUAGUAGUAUAGUACUAAUGUAGUGGUAGUAGCAGUAUUGGUAAUAAUGUAUAAUAGCAAUAGCGACAGUCGUGUGAAAAUUACGUCUGUUUCGUCAUUGAAUAAAAAAUGUGGAGGCAAACCUUUGGAUUAGAGUCUCGGCCACGGAAACACUCUCUAAUGCCAUUGUUUUGUCCCGAUCGAUCGUGUUUUGUACCAUACGAUAUACCACUGUGGCCCGAAGUUGAUCAUUCGAUCGAUAGACGCGACCACACACGACGGAUCUUUGCUCGUGGAUUCGCGUGCCUGUAUGUGAUCAUUUGAGACUUUGAAAAUAACUUGAUAAUGGGCAAAUAAACUCAAAGGAAGGCCCGA